CCUACGGGGGGCAGCAGUGAGGAAUAUUGGUCAAUGGGCGAGAGCCUGAACCAGCCAAGUCGCGUGAGGGAGUACUGCCCUAUGGGUUGUAAACCUCUUUUGUCGGGGAGCAAAAGCCGGACGUGUCCGGCUGUGAGAGUACCCGAAGAAAACGCAUCGGCUAACUCCGUGCCAGCAGCCGCGGUAUUACGGAGGAUGCGAGCGUUAUCCGGAUUUUAUGGGGUUAAAGGGUGCGCAGGCGGAUUUUUAAGUAAGCGGGAAAAUCGUGGGGCUAAACCCCAUCCAGCCGUUGAAACUGGGGAUCUAGAGUGUGCGAGAGGUAUGCGGAAUGCGUGGUGUAGCGGUGAAAUGCAUAGAUAGCACGCAGAACCCCGAUUGCGAAGGCAGCAUACCGGUGCACAACUGACGCUCAGGCACGAAAGCGUGGGUAUCGAACAGGAUUAGAUACCCUUGUAGUC
rnacentral:rRNA from 1 species